UACAGAGGGGGCAAGCGUUGUUCGGAAUUACUGGGCGUAAAGGGCUCGUAGGCGGCCAACUAAGUCAGACGUGAAAUCCCCAGGCUCAACCUGGGAACUGCGUCUGAUACUGGUUGGCUUGAAUCCGGGAGAGGGAUGCAGAAUUCCAGGUGUAGCGGUGAAAUGCGUAGAUAUCUGGAGGAAUACCGGUGGCGAAGGCGGCAUCCUGGACCGGCAUUGACGCUGAGGCGCGAAAGCGGUGGGGAGCAAACAGG
rnacentral:rRNA from 1 species